rnacentral:rRNA from 1 species
GGGCCCGCACAAGCGGUGGAGUAUGUGGUUUAAUUCGAUGCAACGCGAAGAACCUUACCAGGGCUUGACAUGUCACAAAUCUUCCUGAAAGGGGAGAGUGCCUUAGGGAAUGCAGAUACAGGUGGUGCAUGGCUGUCGUCAGCUCGUGUCGUGAGAUGUUGGGUUAAGUCCCGCAACGAGCGCAACCCUUGUUUUUAGUUACCAAUUCGUUGGGUUUUCUAGAAAGACUGCCGGUGACAAACCGGAGGAAGGUGAGGAUGACGUCAAGUCAGCAUGCCCCUUAUGUCCUGGGCUACACACGUGCUACAAUGGUUAGGACAAAGAGUCGCAAAGCUGUGAAGUGAAGCUAAACCCUUAAAAAUAGUCUCAGUUCGGAUUGAAGUCUGCAACUCGACUUCAUG